GAGGUCACUCCUGUCCCCUCACAGCCGGCUCUGCCCCUCCGCACCGCCUGAACACUUCAUUUUCACUGCCCCACUUGCCAGAUCCACGACAAACACUCUCAAGCCCUCCACACUACGGCUCCCAGCCGGGCUGAUCCUUGCACCCUCAUCCCACCGGUACCUAUUUUGGCCUCCUCCUUUCUGGUCACACCCCCACAUGUAGCUCACAGGCUAACCCUAAAAAGCCUCCCUGUUCCCUGCAACCCAUACACACUCUUUUUAAAAAUCUUUUCCCUCCCAUUAUUGCCUGCCUCCAACUCUCACUCCAAACUGCCCCCAGAGCGCAGCUCACACAUAAUGGACUUUAUUCUUCCCCAAAUCCUCGAGGCAAUCAGUCACACGCCAUCCACUGCUGCCUUCCUAAAUCGGAAAAGACAGAAACCACAAAAUUAUCAGCUUUGUACAAUCGCUUGUUUCUCUGCAUGGCAACAGCAGGAGUCAGCAAGCUGGGACGAAGGAGGUGUGCUGCAAGUAACUGUGAUUUGCACUCCCUGCAGCCCAGGAGAGGCGUCCCGGUAAUCAGCCCCAUGUAGUGACACUUCUUGACGCAUUGAGACUGCUUGAUCUGGCUCUCACCUACAGGUGAUGUGCAGAGCACAGCCCCAACAGCCUCGGGAUCUGACCCUGUACAACCUUCCCCCCAGUGACAGGGCCUCAGGCCAGGCCUCAACUUGCUCCUCUGAUGCAGGAUGAAAGCCAGUAAAAAAAUUACAGCUACCCAUGUGAACAGCA